rnacentral:rRNA from 1 species
AGGGUUUGAUCCUGGCUCAGAUUGAACGCUGGCGGUAGGCUUAACACAUGCAAGUCGUGCGAGAAAGUAUCUUCGGAUAUGAGUAGAGCGGCGGACGGGUGAGUAACGCGUAGGAAUCUACCUAGUAGAAGGGGAUAGCCCGGGGAAACUCGGAUUAAUACCGUAUACCUCCUUCGGGAGAAAGAAGGCCUCUCUUUGAAGCUUUCGCUAUUAGAUGAGCCUGCGUAAGAUUAGCUUGUUGGUGAGGUAAAGGCUCACCAAGGCGACGAUCUUUAGCGGGUCUGAGAGGACGAUCCGCCACAUUGGGACUGAGACACGGCCCAGACUCCUACGGGAGGCAGCAGUGGGGAAUAUUGGACAAUGGGCGCAAGCCUGAUCCAGCCAUACCGCGUGUGUGAAGAAGGCCCUAGGGUUGUAAAGCACUUUAAGUUGGGAAGAAAAGUUAUUGGUUAAUACCCAAUAACCGUGACAUUACCAUCAGAAUAAGGACCGGCUAAUUCCGUGCCAGCAGCCGCGGUAAUACGGAAGGUCCAAGCGUUAAUCGGAAUUACUGGGCGUAAAGCGCGCGUAGGUGGUUUAUUAAGUUGGAUGUGAAAUCCCCGGGCUCAACCUGGGAACUGCAUCCAAAACUGAUUCACUAGAGUACGAUAGAGGGAGGUAGAAUUCACAGUGUAGCGGUGGAAUGCGUAGAUAUUGUGAAGAAUACCAAUGGCGAAGGCAGCCUCCUGGAUCUGUACUGACACUGAGGUGCGAAAGCGUGGGUAGCGAACAGGAUUAGAUACCCUGGUAGUCCACGCCGUAAACGAUGUCAACUAGCUGUUGGAAAACUAUGUUUUUCAGUGGCGCAGCUAACGUAGUAAGUUGACCGCCUGGGGAGUACGGCCGCAAGGCUAAAACUCAAAUGAAUUGACGGGGACCCGCACAAGCGGUGGAGCAUGUGGUUUAAUUCGAUGCAACGCGAAAAACCUUACCUAUACUUGACAUACUUGGAAUGCUUUGUAAUGAAGCAGUGCCUUCGGGAGCCAAGAUACAGGUGCUGCAUGGCUGUCGUCAGCUCGUGUCGUGAGAUGUUCCGUUAAGUCGGAUAACGAGCGCAACCCUUACCCUUAUUUGCCAGCGAUUCGGUCGGGAACUAUAAGGGGACUGCCGGUGAUAAACCGGAGGAAGGUGAGGACGACGUCAAGUCAUCAUGGCCCUUACGUAUAGGGCUACACACGUGCUACAAUGGAGAAUACAGACGGACGCUAAGCCGCGAGGUGGUGCUAAUCCUAGAAAAUUCUUCGUAGUCCGGAUUGGAGUCUGCAACUCGACUCCAUGAAGUCGGAAUCGCUAGUAAUCGCGAAUCAGCAUGUCGCGGUGAAUACGUUCUCGGGUCUUGUACACACCGCCCGUCAUACCAUGGAAGUGGAUUGCACCAGAAGUAGAUAGUCUAACCUUCGGGAGGGCGUUUACCACGGUGUGCUUCAUGACUGGGGUAAAGUCGUAACAAGGUAGCCGUA